CUUGACAAAUUUAUAAGAGGUCCAGCCUGCCCAGUGACUCUGUUCAACGGCCGCGGUAUCCUAACCGUGCGAAGGUAGCGUAAUCACUUGUUCUUUAAAUGAGGACUAGUAUGAAUGGCACCACGAAGGUUAUACUGUCUCCUUUUUCUAAUCAGUGAAACUAAUCUUCCCGUGAAGAAACGGGAAUAAAAAUAUAAGACGAGAAGACCCUAUGGAGCUUUAAACAAAUAUACACCUGCCUCUUUACCAAAAAUUUCAGAAGACAAGUAAUUACUCGGGCAUUUUGAUAUAGCGUUUUAGGUUGGGGUGACCACGGAGCAAAAAACAACCUCCGCAGCGAACGGGAAUAUUCCCUUAACCAAGGGCCACAACCCCAAGUAUUGAUAAAUCAACACUAAUUGACCCAAUAAAUUUGACCAAUGAAC
rnacentral:rRNA from 1 species